UCCCUGGUGGCUCAGAGGUAAAGAAUCCACCUGCCAAUGUGGGGAACCCAGGUUUGAUCCCUGGCUUGGGAA
rnacentral:tRNA from 1 species